CUGGGUUCGAAUCCCGGUCACCCCACCAGGAAGGGCCCUGGUUUACCAAAACCCAUCCACACCUUGGUGGUGUGUAGACCCCCCCUGUGGUGCAGGGUGUCUCUGGGGUACAAGGCUGGAGCUCUGGGCCUGCAACUGGAGAGCUUUCAAGUUCAAGAUCCAAGAUUCAAGUGGAGCUCUGGGCCUGUCAAUGGGAGAGUUCUAGAUGAUCUGUGUGGUCAAGGCAGUGGCUGUAGUUGUCACCUAGCUGUUGAGAACUCCAGUAGGUGUGUGGUGUCACCUGGCUGUUGAGGUUUCCAGUAGGUGUGUGGUGGAACAAAAACUUCUCUUCUCUUCUCUGAUCUCUGGCCCUAUCGAGGUUCUGUGAUAUGAUCCAGGCUGCCUUGGCAGUAGGGUGGUAGUGCGUCUACCACCGCAACCUUGUAAGGAUGACUUUAAAAAAAAAAGACGUCGGAGCAUGUGGUUCGGGAGGUGGUCAGCGAGCUGCGCAGGGUGAUGCAGCUGCGUUUCACUGCCACCACGCUAACCCCUGAAACCCUGUCGGCUCUGCCCACACAGCUUCUCACCGCACAGCUCAAGGCGGCUAAGCUGGAGCACUUUGUUGCCAUCUGGACGGCGGGUGGCGCGCUUUGUGAAGUGGAGGAGGUUCAGGGUGGGUCACCGAAGUUGAACUUGCGGCUGACGCUUGCAUCACCUGUGCAGGCCCCCUAGGUUCCUUUUGGGUGGCGUUUCUUUCCAGGCGCUGGCGUGGCGUAUUAUCGUCAUCAGCUUGUCUGGCGCCCAUGAGCGUAGUACUAGCUCUGGCUGGAGUGGCAGCGCCUGGGCGGCUGUGGGCCUUCCUGCACAGCGCGUCUUGCAGCGGGCUGGAGCCCGCUUAGUCAGCGCCACAUCUGGCCCGUUUAGUUUUCUGCUUGUGUCUCCUCUGCCGGUUCUCCUGGGGUGUUGCUUAAGCAACCGACUUGUGGGGGUGGGGUGGGUUUGGGCGGGGCGAGUGCGUAGCGCUGGUGUUUCCUUUUCUGGCGCGCGGUGGUGGUGGUUCUUGCGGUUAGGCUGUGGUGUAGGUUGGUGCUUGGGUUAGGUUUUGCGGUGUUUAGGUGCUGGUGUACCGGCUGCAACAUGCUUACCUGCCUUGCGGGCUGUACCAGGCGGGCAAGAGAAUUCGUCCACGGGUGACCACGGGGUGCGGGGGGUUGGGGGCGCACUGUCCUCACCCCGCCUGCGGGCCACCUGGCCCGCGGGCGUGGGCCAGCCUGACGCACAUCUUCCUGGAGUGUCCAGCUUAUGCGCAGGCGAGGACGUGGCUGCAGCAGCUGUGGGCCUGCGUUGCGCCCCAGGCAGCGGCGCCGCCAGUGACAGACGCAGGCUUCAUGCUGGGGGACCGCAUGGGUAUGUGGGCCUCAGGCCCGUGGGGGGCGGGCGCGCUGCUGUGGAGCACUUUGCGGGCCACCUUCUUGUACGCCGUCUGGUGUGCGUACUGGUCCCGCGAGCCUGCUAAGCAGGGGUGGGCGGUUCUGCUUCGAGUGGAUAGCGUCAAGGGACGAAUUCGCUCGAGGUCAUGGGUUCGACUCCCAUACACCCCUCCGAUUUCGAUCGGAAUGAAUAGACUACAGACAUGCAGUGGGCUGGACGAGUUUAGGCUUAGUUGAUUUGGCUGGAUUCAGUCCGGAAGGUUUGCUGCAGACUCCAAAAAAUUGAGUAGUUCUGAUUGGUCGGGUGACUGAGCAGGGUCCUAGCACUCGAUGUUAGGAGCAGAACCGGAGGUAAAUGGAGCUCUUACGAGAGCAAGCCUACUACUAGAGUAGGUCGUUGGCGUUGCAGGUGGCACGUCCCUGAGGUCCAGAGCAGAUGUCGCUCGCGACUCGCGUCAGCAAGUCCCUCUUGUAACCAAUGCACGUCGUGGAAGGGGGGGUCGUCUAAAUGGUUAAGACACUCAAGCCGAUUUCGUUAAGGCUUCGAGAGAUCCUGGGUUCGAAUCCCGGUCACCCCACCAGGAAGGGCCCUGGUUUACCAAAACCCAUCCACACCUUGGUGGUGUGUAGACCCCCCCUGUGGUGCAGGGUGUCUCUGGGGUACAAGGCUGGAGCUCUGGGCCUGCAACUGGAGAGCUUUCAAGUUCAAGAUCCAAGAUUCAAGUGGAGCUCUGGGCCUGUCAAUGGGAGAGUUCUAGAUGAUCUGUGUGGUCAAGGCAGUGGCUGUAGUUGUCACCUAGCUGUUGAGAACUCCAGUAGGUGUGUGGUGUCACCUGGCUGUUGAGGUUUCCAGUAGGUGUGUGGUGGAACAAAAACUUCUCUUCUCUUCUCUGAUCUCUGGCCCUAUCGAGGUUCUGUGAUAUGAUCCAGGCUGCCUUGGCAGUAGGGUGGUAGUGCGUCUACCACCGCAACCUUGUAAGGAUGACUUUAAAAAAAAAAAGACGUCGGAGCAUGUGGUUCGGGAGGUGGUCAGCGAGCUGCGCAGGGUGAUGCAGCUGCGUUUCACUGCCGCCACGCUAACCCCUGAAACCCUGUCGGCUCUGCCCACACAGCUUCUCACCACACAGCUCAAGGCGGCUAAGCUGGAGCACUUUGUUGCCAUCUGGACGGCGGGUGGCGCGCUUUGUGAAGUGGAGGAGGUUCAGGGUGGGUCAACGAAGUUGAACUUGCGGCUGACGCUUGCAUCACCUGUGCAGGCCCCCUAGAUUUCCUUUUGGGUGGCGUUUCUUUCCAGGUGCUGGCGUGGCGUAUUAUCGUCAUCAGCUUGUCUGGCGCCCAUGAGUACUAGCUCUGGCUGGAGUGGCAGCGCCUGGGCGGCUGUGGGACUUCCUGCACAGAGCGUCUUGCAGCGGACUGGAGCCCGCUUAGUCAGCGCCACAUCUGGCCCGUUUAGUUUUCUGCUUGUGUCUCCUCUGCCGGUUCUCCUGGGGUGUUGCUUAAGCAACCGACUUGUGGGGGUGGGGUGGGUUUGGGCGGGGCGUGUGCGUAGCGCUGGUGGUUUCUUUUCUGGCGCGCGGUGGUGGUGGUUCUUGCGGUUAGGCUGUGGUGUAGGUUGGUGCUUGGGUUAGGUCUGGCGGUGUUUAGGUGCUGGUGUACCGGCUGCAACAUGCUUACCUGCCUUGCGGGCUGUACCGGGCGGGCAAGGGAAUUCGUCCACGGGUGACCACGGGGUGCGGGGGGUUGGGGGCGCACUGUCCUCACCCCGCCUGCGGGCCACCUGGCCCGCGGGCGUGGGCCAGCCUGACGCACAUCUUCCUGGAGUGUCCAGCUUAUGCGCAGGCGAGGACGUGGCUGCAGCAGCUGUGGGCCUGCGUUGCGCCCCAGGCAGCGGCGCCGCCAGUGACAGACGCAGGCUUCAUGCUGGGGGACCGCAUGGGUAUGUGGGCCUCAGGCCCGUGGGGGGCGGGCGCGCUGCUGUGGAGCACUUUGCGGGCCACCUUCUUGUACGCCGUCUGGUGUGCGUACUGGUCCCGCGAGCCUGCUAAGCAGGGGUGGGCGGUUCUGCUUCGAGUGGAUAGCGUCAAGGGACGAAUUCGCUCGAGGUCAUGGGUUCGACUCCCAUACACCCCUCCGAUUUCGAUCGGAAUGAAUAGACUACAGACAUGCAGUGGGCUGGACGAGUUUAGGCUUAGUUGAUUUGGCUGGAUUCAGUCCGGAAGGUUUGCUGCAGACUCCAAAAAAUUGAGUAGUUCUGAUUGGUCGGGUGACUGAGCAGGGUCCUAGCACUCGAUGUUAGGAGCAGAACCGGAGGUAAAUGGAGCUCUGACGAGAGCAAGCCUACUACUAGAGUAGGUCGUUGGCGUUGCAGGUGGCACGUCCCUGAGGUCCAGAGCAGAUGUCGCUCGCGACUCGCGUCAGCAAGUCCCUCUUGUAACCNNNNNNNNNNNNNNNNNNNNNNNNNNNNNNNNNNNNNNNNNNNNNNNNNNNNNNNNNNNNNNNNNNNNNNNNNNNNNNNNNNNNNNNNNNNNNNNNNNNNUGGGCCUGCAACUGGAGAGCUUUCAAGUUCAAGAUCCAAGAUUCAAGUGGAGCUCUGGGCCUGUCAAUGGGAGAGUUCUAGAUGAUCUGUGUGGUCAAGGCAGUGGCUGUAGUUGUCACCUAGCUGUUGAGAACUCCAGUAGGUGUGUGGUGUCACCUGGCUGUUGAGGUUUCCAGUAGGUGUGUGGUGGAACAAAAACUUCUCUUCUCUUCUCUGAUCUCUGGCCCUAUCGAGGUUCUGUGAUAUGAUCCAGGCUGCCUUGGCAGUAGGGUGGUAGUGCGUCUACCACCGCAACCUUGUAAGGAUGACUUUAAAAAAAAAAAGACGUCGGAGCAUGUGGUUCGGGAGGUGGUCAGCGAGCUGCGCAGGGUGAUGCAGCUGCGUUUCACUGCCGCCACGCUAACCCCUGAAACCCUGUCGGCUCUGCCCACACAGCUUCUCACCGCGCAGCUCAAGGCGGCUAAGCUGGAGCACUUUGUUGCCAUCUGGACGGCGGGUGGCGCGCUUUGUGAAGUGGAGGAGGUUCAGGGUGGGUCACCGAAGUUGAACUUGCGGCUGACGCUUGCAUCACCUGUGCAGGCCCCUAGGUUCCUUUUGGGUGGCGUUUCUUUCCAGGCGCUGGCGUGGCGUAUUAUCGUCAUCAGCUUGUCUGGCGCCCAUGAGCGUAGUACUAGCUCUGGCUGGAGUGGCAGCGCCUGGGCGGCUGUGGGCCUUCCUGCACAGCGCGUCUUGCAGCGGGCUGGAGCCCCCUUAGUCAGCGCCACAUCUGGCCCAUUUAGUUUUCUGCUUGUGUCUCCUCUGCCGGUUCUCCUGGGGUGUUGCUUAAGCAACCGACUUGUGGGGGUGGGGUGGGUUACGGCGGGUCGAGGGGUGGUAGCACUGGUGUUUUCGCUUCUGGCGCGCGGUGGUGUGUUUUCAGGUGGUGGUGUUUCUUGCGGUCAGGCUUUGUUGUAGGUUGGUGCUUGGGUUAGGUCUUGCAGGGGGGGGGUAGGAACAAACUUUUUUGACCCCAUGCCACAAAAACUCCCGGACCCCCCGACCGACCGACCGACCGACCCCCCCUGCCGUACGACCCCCAAAAACCCCCUCAGAACCCCUUAGUUUUUGGUCAGGUUGGUGCCAAUUGACUGCUCUCGGUGAGCUCUAUCGCUAUGCAGAAUGAUCCGCCUUGGGAACACACUUUGACCGACCGACAUGUGGGCAUGUAGACAUGUCCAACCGUCUGCCGACAAGUAUCCUGAUAGACUGGCCUGCUAUGCAACGGCUUAUUCCGAUGUUACUUGAUAGUGCGAAAUGUGCUGACACGUUCACCAUGCAAAACCCGGCCGGCACUGGCUUGUCCCUGACCAGUUCCCCAGGCAUCUCCCAAGAUGCCGACAUGCCGCUCCCCAAACUGCCCCAAACUAUGCACGUGUGCUGAGCCUGGGGUAUACCUACGCACGCAUCGUGGAGCUGCACCCAUUGCGCCGCGUGUUGCAGGACAGAAGCGCUAGGAACAAAACUUGGCACGAACCUGUGCAAAACCUCUUGGGACCCCCGACCGACCGACCGACCGGCCACUUUGAGGGGUCAUAACUUUGCACCCAGAAACCCAUUUUCGAUUUUGAAAGCGGAUUCGUGAUUUUCUCGUUGAGCUCUAUCCAUUUGAGGCAUGGGGUCUGUUUCGGAAGAUUCUACCCCCCCCCUGGGUCUUGUUAGGAAACCCCUCCCGGGGGGCGCGGGGGCCAGCCUCCUGCUCUGUCUGCCGGGUCGGGGUGGGGUGGGGUGGGAUAAGUGGGGGUGGUUGUUGGCACUUUCGAGGUGUUUGCUUUCUGUUUUCUUCUCUUUUCUUCUCUUCUUGCCCUGUCAGGGUUCUGGUCUCGGGGACCAGGCUGCUUUCAGGCAGCAGGGGGGCAGCGCGUCUGCCCCUGUUCAACCUUGUAAGGAUGAUUCCUAAAAAAAAGCUGGUCCAGGCUAACCCGCCACUGGCGGCGCCGCUGGCGGCUGAGUGGCUGGCUGCGGCGGAUGCUGUUCCACACCCGCGCUCCGCACGUGGCCGACCGCGGCCGCCAGCCGGGCAGGCAGCCCCGCUGGCGCCGGCGCGCCGCUGUACACCCACGCCCACGUGGUGGCGGAGUCCGGGCACACAUGAGUAAGCAGCGCCCGGGUGAGCGUCUUCCAGGGUUGCCGGCCUGGCUGGGCAAGGAGGGCGAAAGUCUUAGCUUGCAGGGCAGACAGGAACACAGGCAGGUCGACGUGGUUGACACCCCCAUCCUUGUACGGCAGACAGGCCGUUUCCCGCUUUGGCAGCAGGAGCGGGUUCCCGUGCGACACCAGGCUGGCGUCCUCAGCGUGCAUGGAGCGCGCAGCAAAGUGGUCCACCAGGUUGGUGAGUUCCUUCAGCUGCGCAGGCGACGGGUUGAGGAAGCUGAAGUGGUAGGCCAGCUUCGCCGCCAGCACCUGCUUCGCAAUGUGCACACGGCCAACGAGAGUCAGAGACAGGGCAGCCCACAGACGCGCCACAAACGCCAUGCCGUGAGCCCGCCGGGUGUACAAGUCAGCUGCAGCCGCAUCAGAGUCCCACGACAGGGGCACACCCAGGUGCGUCACGGCGCCAGUGGUAAACGGCACCCCCGUGUGUGGGCAAGGGCCCGUCAGGUGCGCAAACCUGCCAAGGCCCAUGGCCUUGCUCUUGUCCGGAUGGACACGGGCGUUGGACGCGCGGCAGAACAGCUGUACUGCCGCCAUCAGGACCGGCCCGUCCACCGCCGGGUCGCGCGCCGUUAGCGCCGUGAGGGUCGUGUCGUCAGCGUGGUGGGCAGCAGGUGGCGCCUGCUCGCCGCUGGGUAACAGGGGCGUGCGCAGUGCCCCUUGCUCCACCUGCCGCCGCAGAAAGGACGUCAGUGGCUGCAUCUGGAUGACCCACAGGGGUGGUGAGACGGUGCUGCCCUGCGGCAAGCCGUUCAGCACUGGGAAGGCGUCAGAGAGCAUCCCGUUCACACACACGCGGGCAGAGCCGUUGGCAGUGAGCAGGCGGAUCCAGCGCAGCAUGCGCGGCCCAAACCCCGCCAGUCCCUCCGCGGACGCAUACAGCCACUGCCGGUGCACCCGGUCAUACGCCUUUUCAAUGUCCAAGAAGUACAGCGCACCGCCCUGCCGUGGCGUGCCGUCCGCGCCCACGUCCAGGCGCAUCCAUUCGAUCAGGCCUUGGAGGUACAGCGCGUUGUCUCCAAUCCAGCGGCCGGUGAUGAACGCGGUCUGCAGCUCAUCCACAACUGCAUCCAGGGCGGGCUGCAGGCGGGCGCUGACGGCCUUGGACACCAUCUUGAAGUCGCAGUUGAACAGCGUGAUGAGCCGGUAGGACACCAGCUCGGCGCGGUCCAGGCUUUUGCCCUUGUAGAUGGGCGGAUGAUGCCCUCCCGCCAGGAGGCAGGCAGCGCCGCCGCAAUUUCGCCGCCAUCGUGGGCGUCUGCAGCGGCAGCAAAGGCAGCGGCAGCAGCAGCACACAAGCGCGGGCCCAGCAGCGCCCAGAAAACCUUGUACACCUCGUACGGGACCCCGUCCGACCCAGGUGCUUUACCAUUGGCGGAGCCAGCCAGCGCUGCCAUCAGCUCGGCAUCACUGAGGGCGCCGUCACCGGACCCCUCUGCGGCGGCCUGCAGAUCCGCCGGAACCUUGCGGUCAAUGGCCGCCAGAAGCUGUUGCUGCGACGCCGUACCGCCGUCCUGGCACAGCUGCGCGACGAGUUCACUGGCUGGUGGCGCCUGUACUCAGCCCAGCCUGCAGGCACGCCCCUGCCUUCCGACGUGACGGAGCAGCUGGAUGACGCCGCGCAGCAGGUGCAGACGGCCUACAUGGACUACGUGCUCCUAGACGACCGCACCCUGCGGUCCGCUAAGCGUGGGCCGGCGGACCCCGGCGGUGCUGGCGGGCCCAGCCGCCGGCAACGCCAGCACCGCAGCCGCAGUACUUCCAGCCUCAUGAGCCUGGGCAGCGCUCCACUGCGCCCCGGCGGCGCCAGCUCAGGCGCCGCUAGCAUGAGCACCAGCUGCGGCGGCGCGCCCUUCAGCCAGGGUGGCGGCCACCGCCGCAAUCGCCACAGCAGCAACAGCAACCGCAACCGCCACGGCGCUGCCGUGGCCGGCGGGGGCUCAUAAUGCGGCCACCAGUGGGAGCGGCGAACCUUCGGCUGCUGACAGUGAAUGUCAACGGCCUGGGCUCGCCGUUCAAGGCGCGGGCGCUGGUCUCGCACCUGCAGCAAGUUGGGGCGGAUGUGGCGAUGGUGCAGGAGACCCACGCUACUGACACGACCGCGCUGGAGUCUUGCCUCCGUGCCGCGCAGGGGGCGUGCCUUCCGUGGCGCCACUGCCACAUUGCCAGCCCGGCAGCGUCGCCCCACUCCUGUGGGGCGGCUAUCCUGGCGCGGAGUCGGCUGUCCCUUCCAGGCUGCGUACUGCAGCCGCCGUCAACGGAUGCGGCGGGCCGUGUGGUAUGUUGGGAUUGGGACGUGGGUCACCUGCGCCUGCGCUUCGUGUGUGUGUAUGCGCCCACGGCCGUGGCGGACAAGCCUGCGUUCUUUGCCGGGCUGCAUCCCCACCUGGCCACGGACAGGGUGCUUGUUGUCGGUGGGGACUGGAACUGUGUCACCGAUGCCAGUCAGGAGGCGGCCCCUAGCCCGUCACGUGCUGCAGGUGCCCCGCAACUUGCCAGCCUCCUCGCCCAGUUCAGUCUGGUGGACCCUUGGGCGAGCAAGCGUGGCGGCGCCAAGGGCUACACGCAUCCGGCCACACCCAAGCCGGCCACUCCCGCACGCCUGGAUCGGUGGUAUGUCAGUGCCACCGCGGCGCCGUGGGUGGUGGAUGUCGCUCGCACGUAUGGGGCACCUGGGGACCACAACGGUGUGCUGCUCACCCUGUCCUUGCCCGACCUGCCACAUGCGCACCGGGAGCAGUGGCGCUUCCCCACGUACCUGCUGUUUCACCCCGCCCUCGCUGCGUUUGGAGCUCGAGCAGCGCUUGGAGGCGCACGUUGCCGCAAAUCCCGUGGCCAGUACAGGUGACGGCGCUUGCACGCAAUGGGAGGCGGACAAGUUCUUCUUGCGGGAGGCCGCCACCAGCAUCCACCGUCGGCAUGCACGCCAGACCCGGGAUGGGCUGCAUGGCGUGGUGCUGGCCGCAGACGCGGCCGCUGCCCUAGCCGACCGGCCGGGUGCCAGCGCCGCGCAGCGUCAGGCUGCGGCCAUGGCCAACUUGGCGGUGCGGGAGGAGCGGGCAGCUGCCCUGUUCAACCUUGUAAGGAUAAUUCCUCAAAAAAAAAAAAAAAAAAAAAGCUGCCGCAGCGGCCAGCCACAAUGCCCGCGCUGCACUGAUGGAGGAGCAUGGGGAGCGGGGAACUUGCUGGUUCCAUCGGCAGGCUGACGAGCCAGCAGCCGGCGCGCAGGAGCCCAUCACGCACUUGAAGGUGCCGGGGCAACCGGCGCCUGUGGCGCUCACGGGGCCGGGCACGCGCAACACUGUCUCCGCCGCCGACGCAGCCAUGUACAGCAGCACAAGCCCCACCGGCCUGUUCCGCGUGCAGCCGGUCUGUACGGCGUCGCAGCAACAGCUUCUGGCGGCCAUUGACCGCAAGGUUCCGGCGGAUCUGCAGGCCGCCGCAGAGGGGUCCGGUGACGGCGCCCUCAGUGAUGCCGAGCUGAUGGCAGCGCUGGCUGGCUCCGCCAAUGGUAAAGCACCUGGGUCGGACGGGGUCCCGUACGAGGUGUACAAGGUUUUCUGGGCGCUGCUGGGCCCGCGCUUGUGUGCUGCUGCUGCCGCUGCCUUUGCUGCCGCUGCAGACGCCCACGAUGGCGGCGAAAUUGCGGCGGCGCUGCCUGCCUCCUGGCGGGAGGGCAUCAUCCGCCCAUCUACAAGGGCAAAAGCCUGGACCGCGCCGAGCUGGUGUCCUACCGGCUCAUCACGCUGUUCAACUGCGACUUCAAGAUGGUGUCCAAGGCCGUCAGCGCCCGCCUGCAGCCCGCCCUGGAUGCAGUUGUGGAUGAGCUGCAGACCGCGUUCAUCACCGGCCGCUGGAUUGGAGACAACGCGCUGUACCUCCAAGGCCUGAUCGAAUGGAUGCGCCUGGACGUGGGCGCGGACGGCACGCCACGGCAGGGUGGUGCGCUGUACUUCUUGGACAUCGAAAAGGCGUAUGACCGGGUGCACCGGCAGUGGCUGUAUGCGUCCGCGGAGGGUCUGGGGUUUGGGCCGCGCAUGCUGCGCUGGAUCCGCCUGAUCACUGCCAACGGAGUUUUCUGCUUGUGUCUCCUCUGCCGGUUCUCCUGGGGUGUUGCUUAAGCAACCGACUUGUGGGGGUGGGGUGGGUUUGGGCGAGGCGAGUGCGUAGCGCUGGUGUUUUCCUUUCUGGCGCGCGGUGGUGGUGGUUCUUGCGGUUAGGCUGUGGUGUAGGCUGGUGCUUGGGUUAGGUUUUGCGGUGUUUUUGUGCAACCCCUCCCGGGGAGCGGGGGGGCCAGCCUCCUGCUCUGUCUGCCGGGUCGGGGUGGGGUGGGGUGGGAUGGAUGGGGGUGGUUGGUGGCGGUUUGUCGAGGUGUUUGUUUUCUGUUUUUCUUCUCUUUUCUUCUCUUCUUGCCCUGUCAGGGUUCUGGUCUAGGGGACCAGGCUGCUUUCAGGCAGCAGGGGGGCAGCGCGUCUGCCCCUGUUCAACCUUGUAAGGAUGUUUCCUCAAAAAAAAAACGGCUCUGCCCGCGUGUGUGUGAACGGGAUGCUCUCUGACGCCUUCCCAGUGCUGAACGGCUUGCCGCAGGGCAGCACCGCCUCACCACCCCUGUGGGUCAUCCAGAUGCAGCCACUGACGUCCUUUCUGCGGCGGCAGGUGGAGCAAGGGGCACUGCGCACGCCCCUGUUACCCAGCGGCGAGCAGGCGCCGCCUGCUGCCCACCACGCUGACGACACGACCCUCACGGCGCGCGACCCGGCAGUGGACGGGCCGGUCCUGAUGGCGGCAGUACAGCUGUUCUGCCGCGCGUCCAACGCCCGUGUCCAUCCGGACAAGAGCAAGGCCAUGGGCCUUGGCAGGUUUGCGCACCUGACGGGCCCUUGCCCACACACGGGGGUGCCGUUUACCACUGGCGCCGUGACGCACCUGGGUGUGCCCCUGUCGUGGGACUCUGAUGCGGCUGCAGCUGACUUGUACACCCGGCGGGCUCGCGGCAUGGCGUUUGUGGCGCGUCUGUGGGCUGCCCUGUCUCUGACUCUCGUUGGCCGUGUGCACAUUGCAAAGCAGGUGCUGGCGGCAAAGCUGGCCUACCACUUCAGCUUCCUCAACCCGUCGCCUGCGCAGCUGAAGGAACUCACCGACCUGGUGGACCACUUUGCUGCGCGCUCCAUGCACGCUGAGGACGCCAGCCUGGUGUCGCAUGGGAACCCGCUCCUGCUGCCCAAGCGGGAAACGGCCUGUCUGCCGUACAAGGAUGGGGGUGUCAACCACGUCGACCUGCCUGCGUUCCUGUCUGCCCUGCAAGCUAAGACUUUCGCCCUCCUUGCCCAGCCAGGCCGGCAACCCUGGAAGACGCUCACCCGGGCGCUGCUUACCCAUGUGCGCCCGGACUCCGCCACCACGUGGGCGUGGGUGUACAGCGACGCGCCAGCGCCAGCGGGGCUGCCUGCCCGGCUGGCGGCCGCAGUCGGCCACGUGCGGAGCGCGGGUGUGGAACAGCAUCCACCGCAGCCAGCCACUCAGCCGCCAGCGGCGCCGCCACAGUGGCGGGUUAGCCUGGACCAGCUGUGGGUGGCUAAUGCUGCGGGGGCUGUGUCCUACGUCCACUACACGGGGCGGCUCUUGGAGCCUGGACCUGGCGUGCUUUUUGAGGAAUCAUCCUUACAAGGUUGAACAGGGGCAGACGCACUGCCCCCCUGCUGCCUGAAAGCAGCCUGGUCCCCGAGACCAGAACCCUGAAAGGGCAAGAGAGAAGAAAAGAGAAGAAAACAGAAAGCAAACACCUCGAAAACGCCAGCAACCACCAAUCCCACCCCAUCCCACCCCGACCCGUGCUGCCCCCGGCGGUGGAUGGGGCGUGGCAGCCUGCCUGUGUGCUGCAGCAUCGCAAGCCGCGGCACCUGUGGACCUUUGAAGAGCGGGCGGCGUACGAUGCAGCAUCACCAGGGGACCGGGCGGGGGCGUGGCCUCGGGCGCCGUACUUCCUGGCGCCGGAGGCUGGGGUGGUGGUGCACCCGGAGCACUGCCGGAUUGCGGGUGUCAGCUUGGCGGACUACACGGUGCGGGACGUGCGGCGGGCCAUCACCGCGGCUAACCCGGCCGCACCUCCGGCUCCGGCCCGCCCCGCAGCCAUGCCGUGCCCGGCGCCAGCUCAGCAGGCGGGGGGUUCGGGGACCCAGCCGGCGGCACAGUCGCGGCUGGCGGAGCGGGAGGCGGAGUGGCAGCGUGCAGCGGCGCAGCUGACCACCACGGCGGCGCAGCACUUCAACAAUAACCCGGUGGCUCUGGACCCCUGGCUCCACCGCACCUCUGCGGCAGCCGGGCUGCAGAACACGCCGGCGAGAGAACAGUGCGGGGUACGUGGCGGAGGCUGUGGGACAGUCACGCUAGUCGGGGGGCAAAGGUGCUGGUGUACCGGCUACAACAUGCUUACCUGCCUUGCGGGCUGUACAGGGCGGGCAAGGGAAUUCAUCCACGGGUGACCACGGGGUGCGGGGGGUUGGGGGCGCACUGUCCUCACCCCGCCUGCGGGUCACCUGGCCCGCGGGCGUGGGCCAGCCUGACGCACAUCUUCCUGGAGUGUCCAGCUUAUGCGCAGGCGAGGACGUGGCUGCAGCAGCUGUGGGCCUGCGUUGCGCCCCAGGCAGCGGCGCCGCCAGUGACGGACGCGGGCUUCAUGCUGGGGGACCGCAUGGGUAUGUGGGCCUCAGGCCCGCGGGGGGCGGGCGCGCUGCUGUGGAGCACUUUGCGGGCCACCUUCUUUUUUUUUUUAAAAGUCAUCCUUACAAGGUUGCGGUGGUAGACGCACUACCACCCUACUGCCAAGGCAGCCUGGAUCAUAACACAGAACCUCGAUAGGGCCAGAGAUCAGAGAAGAGAAGAGAAGUUUGUUCCACCACACACCUACUGGAAACCUCAACAGCCAGGUGACACCACACACCUACUGGAGUUCUCAACAGCUAGGUGACAACUACAGCCACUGCCAUGACCACACAGAUCAUCUAGAGCUCUCCAGUUGACAGGCCCAGAGCUCCACUUGAAUCUUGGAUCUUGAACUUGAAAGCUCUCCAGUUGCAGGCCCAGAGCUCCAGCCUUGUACCCCAGAGACUCCCUGCACCACAGGGGGGGUCUACACACCACCAAGGUGUGGAUGGGUUUUGGUAAACCAGGGCCCUUCCUGGUGGGGUGACCGGGAUUCGAACCCAGGAUCUCUCGAAGCCUUAACGAAAUCAGCUUGAGUGUCUUAACCAUUUAGACGACCCCCCCGACCUUCUUGUACGCCGUCUGGUGUGCGUACUGGUCCCGCGAGCCUGCUAAGCAGACGUCGGAGCAUGUGGUUCGGGAGGUGGUCAGCGAGCUGCGCAGGGUGAUGCAGCUGCGUUUCACUGCCGCCACGCUAACCCCUGAAACCCUGUCGGCUCUGCCCACACAGCUUCUCACCGCGCAGCUCAAGGCGGCUAAGCUGGAGCACUUUGUUGCCAUCUGGACGGCAGGUGGCGCGCUUUGUGAAGUGGAGGAGGUUCAGGGUGGGUCACCGAAGUUGAACUUGCGGCUGACGCUUGCAUCACCUGUGCAGGCCCCCUGGGUUUCCUUUUGGGCGGCGUUUCUUUCCAAGCGCUGGCGUGGUGUACUAUCGUCAUCAGCUUAUCUGGCGCCCAUGUGUUUUAGCUCUGGCUGGCGUCACAGCGCCUGGGCGGCUGUGGGACUUCCUGCACAGCGCGUCUUGCAGCGGGCUGGAGCCCACUUAUUUAGCGCCACAUCUGGCCCGUUUAGUCUUCUGCUUGUGUCUCCUCUGCCGGUUCUCCUGGGGUGUUGCUUAAGCAACCGACUUGUGGGGGUGGGGUGGGUUUGGGCGGGGCGAGUGCGUAGCGCUGGUGUUUCUUUUUCUGGCGCGCGGUGGUGGUGGUUCUUGCGGUUAGGCUGUGGUGUAGGUUGGUGCUUGGGUUAGGUCUGGCUGUGUUUUUGUGCAACCCCUCCCGGGGGGCGGGGGGGCCAGCCUCCUGCUCUGUCUGCCGGGUCGGGGUGGGGUGGGGUGGGAUGGAUGGGGGUGGUUGUUGGCGGUUUUCGAGGUGUUUGUUUUCUGUUUUUCUUCUCUUUUCUUCUCUUCUUGCCCUGUCAGGGUUCUGGUCUCGGGGACCAGGCUGUCUUCAGGCAGCAGGGGGGCAGCGCGUCUGCCCCUGUUCAACCUUGUAAGGAUGAUCCCUCAAAAAAAAAAAACGCGGCGCGCACACAUUCUGCCUGCAUACCUUUUUGGGCUGAGCCCCCCGAGCGAAGCGAUCCAGGGGGGGGCGAAGCCCCCCAGGAUUGCCCCUGUCCGUGCCUGCCUGCGUGCCUGCCUGCGUCGACAAAAAGUGCCAAUCUGGCGCAAACCGCGAGUGCCACGUAUUAUUAAUUGCUAUUCCCUAUUGUAGAAAAAUAGGCGGCAGGGAAAACUCGGCCGGGGCGAGAAGCGACCUCGUGAGUCCAUGGACAUCUUGACUUUCUUCAGUCCGCGAGUAUAGCUCUCGGCCCCUAAAUAUCUUACAUCCAUGUAUCAAAACAUGUCGACGACAAGCGUCUUGGGGCAAGAAUGUCGAAAUUGUUUGCAACAGCCAAACCAUGCGUCCCCGAGCCUUAAAUGUGUCGCGGCCCGGGAUCCCGCGCCCGAGCCCGGCUAGCCGUUUGCGGUGCUUGAGUGGGAUGUGGGUGAGGUGCAUUUGGGAUAUCAUGGACCGUGAAGUGGCGUGGGUAAGGUGGCGUGGCGUGGCGGGGACAGGGCAUGUCGGUGCCUCGGCACGGCGUUGGCAUAGUGGCUAGUCCCGCUGGAUGGGCUUGCAAGGGUGCUGUUCAUGUCGCCGGUGCCCAUCGUCACAUCCCUUGCGCUUCAUGGGGCUCAGCCCAUUUUCCAGCUGUACAAAGCUGACACCCCUUGUUUUUUUAAAGUCAUCCUUACAAGGUUGCGGUGGUAGACGCACUCCCACCCUACUGCCAAGGCAGCCUGGAACAUAUCACAGAACCUCGAUAGGGCCAGAGAUCAGAGAAGAGAAGAGAAGUUUUUGUUCCACCACACACCUACUGGAAACCUCAACAGCCAGGUGACACCACACACCUACUGGAGUUCUCAACAGCUAGGUGACAACUACAGCCACUGCCAUGACCACACAGAUCAUCUAGAGCUCUCCAGUUGACAGGCCCAGAGCUCCACUUGAAUCUUGGAUCUUGAACUUGAAAGCUCUCCAGUUGCAGGCCCAGAGCUCCAGCCUUGUACCCCAGAGACUCCCUGCACCACAGGGGGGUCUACACACCAACAAGGUGUGGAUGGGUUUUGGUAAACCAGGGCCCUUCCUGGUGGGGUGACCGGGAUACACCUUGCCAUGCACCCCUGCUGGCAAGUGGUAUUGCAACCGCUGCCAGGGCAGUGCUUCCACAGCUGUUGACGUGGAUGCGCCUGUUGUGGAAGCAAGCAGCGGCUGCGAUGAUCCGGAGAUGGAAGCCAUUCUCCGCACAGUGAAUACGGGGGACGCCAGCAGGCAGCUUGUCCGGUUCCGCCAAUACCUGGCGACCGUACGUAGCCCUGGGGGGGUGUCGUUCCACGGGCGAGUGUCAUGAAGGAGCAUCGUCGUGCAGCUGUGCAGCUGCGGCAGCCGGGCAGCAGAACACGCCGGCGAGAGAACUGCAGUCGUAUGCGUCCCCGUCCCAGCACUCGGGUGAGGGGCCGCGGCGUUCCGCGCGGCUGCAGGAGCAGGCGGCGGGCGGGGCGGGGCCUAGCACGGGGCCUGCCACGGCGGCGGCGGCAGCAGCGGCGGCGGUGGCGGGCUAUCACAAGCGGGGGGGGUCGUCUAAAUGGUUAAGACACUCAAGCCGAUUUCGUUAAGGCUUCGAGAGAUCCUGGGUUCGAAUCCCGGUCACCCCACCAGGAAGGGCCCUGGUUUACCAAAACCCAUCCACACCUUGGUGGUGUGUAGACCCCCCCUGUGGUGCAGGGAGUCUCUGGGGUACAAGGCUGGAGCUCUGGGCCUGCAACUGCAGAGCUUUCAAGUUCAAGAUCCAAGAUUCAAGUGGAGCUCUGGGCCUGUCAACUGGAGAGCUCUAGAUGAUCUGUGUGGUCAAGGCCGUGGCUGUAGUUGUCACCUAGCUGUUGAGAACUCCAGUAGGUGUGUGGUGUCACCUAGCUGUUGAGGUCUCCAGUAGGUGUGUGGUGGAACAAACUUCUCUUCUCUUCUCUGAUCUCUGGCCCUAUCGAGGUUCUGUGAUAUGAUCCAGGCUGCCUUGGCAGUAGGGUGGUAGUGCGUCUACCACCGCAACCUUGUAAGGAUGACUUUAAAAAAAAAAAAAACCCUCGCACGCCGCCCCCGGAUGCGUCCCUUCUGCGGGGUACGUGGCGGAGGCUGUG
rnacentral:lncRNA from 1 species